ACUCACCUCCCGUGCUUCCCAGGUGGGUGGUGGUCUUUGGGGUUGUCAGGGUCAGUCAGUUGGUAUUGUUGGGAGUAGUUGGGUAUUGUUGGGUCAGUUGGGAGUAGGAGUUUUAUUGUUUUUGUUUUAUUUACUUAUUUUUUUCAUUUAUCUUUUUUUAUUACUUUUAUUAUUUUUUUAUACCUAUAUAUAUUUUAUUCUUUUUGGUCUGGCAGUCCGUAGACUUGGGGAGAGAAGGGAAGUGCUGUGCACUCACCUCCCUUGCUCUCCCGAGGUCCGAGGUGGUAAGGAGGUUUUAUAUUUAUUUUUAUUUAUUUAUCUUUAUUUAUUUAUUUAUUUUAUUUUUUAUUUAUUUAUUUUUUUUUGCGUGGUAGGUUAGGAGACAAGGGAAGUGCUAUGCACUCACCUUAAUUCUUUAUUUUUUCUUUUCUAUCUUUUGCCGGAGACAAGGGAAGUGCUAUGCACUCACCUUAAUUCUUUAUUUUUUUUUCUAUCUUUUGCCUGGUAGGUUGGAAGAGAAGGGAAGUGCUAUGCACUCACCUUUAUAUUUUUUAUUCUGUUAGGUGAAGAGAAGAGAA